AUUGAACGCUGGCGGCAGGCCUAACACAUGCAAGUCGAGCGGUAGAGAGAAGCUUGCUUCUCUUGAGAGCGGCGGACGGGUGAGUAAUGCCUAGGAAUCUGCCUGGUAGUGGGGGAUAACGUUCGGAAACGGACGCUAAUACCGCAUACGUCCUACGGGAGAAAGCAGGGGACCUUCGGGCCUUGCGCUAUCAGAUGAGCCUAGGUCGGAUUAGCUAGUUGGUGAGGUAAUGGCUCACCAAGGCGACGAUCCGUAACUGGUCUGAGAGGAUGAUCAGUCACACUGGAACUGAGACACGGUCCAGACUCCUACGGGAGGCAGCAGUGGGGAAUAUUGGACAAUGGGCGAAAGCCUGAUCCAGCCAUGCCGCGUGUGUGAAGAAGGUCUUCGGAUUGUAAAGCACUUUAAGUUGGGAGGAAGGGCAGUUACCUAAUACGUGAUUGUUUUGACGUUACCGACAGAAUAAGCACCGGCUAACUCUGUGCCAGCAGCCGCGGUAAUACAGAGGGUGCAAGCGUUAAUCGGAAUUACUGGGCGUAAAGCGCGCGUAGGUGGUUAGUUAAGUUGGAUGUGAAAUCCCCGGGCUCAACCUGGGAACUGCAUUCAAAACUGACUGACUAGAGUAUGGUAGAGGGUGGUGGAAUUUCCCUGUGUAGCGGUGAAAUGCGUAGAUAUAGGAAGGAACCACCCCAGUGGCGAAGGCGACC
rnacentral:rRNA from 1 species